GUGCCAGCAGCCGCGGUAAGACAGAGGUCCCGAGCGUUAGGCGGAAUCACUGGGCUUAAAGCGUGUGUAGGCGGGCCUGCAAGUACCUUGUGAAAUCCCACGGCUUAACCGUGGAACUGCUUGGUAUACUGCGGGUCUUGAGGCAUCUAGAGGCAACUGGAACAAACGGUGGAGCGGUGAAAUGCGUAGAUAUCGUUUGGAACGCCCAUGGUGAAAACAGGUUGCUGGGGAUGUACUGACGCUGAGACACGAAAGCUAGGGGAGCAAACGGGAUUAGAUACCCCGGUAGUCC
rnacentral:rRNA from 1 species